AUUGAACGCUGGCGGCAUGCUUUACACAUGCAAGUCGAACGGCAGCGCGGGCUUCGGCCUGGCGGCGAGUGGCGAACGGGUGAGUAAUACAUCGGAACGUGCCCAGUAGUGGGGGAUAGCUCGGCGAAAGCCGGAUUAAUACCGCAUACGACCUGAGGGUGAAAGCGGGGGAUCUUCGGACCUCGCGCAAUUGGAGCGGCCGAUGGCAGAUUAGCUAGUUGGUGGGGUAAAGGCCUACCAAGGCGACGAUCUGAAGCUGGUCUGAGAGGACGACCAGCCACACUGGAACUGAGCCACGGCCCUGACUCCUACGGGAGGCAGCAGUGGGGUAUUUUGGACAAUGGGCGAAAGCCUGAUCCAGCAAUGCCGCGUGUGUGAUGAAGGCCUUCGGGUUGUAAAGCACUUUUGGCGGGAACGAAAAGGACUGUGCCAAUACCACGGUUCGAUGACGGUACCCGCAGAAUAAGCACCGGCUAACUACGUG
rnacentral:rRNA from 1 species